rnacentral:rRNA from 1 species
GCUUACGGCCAUACCACCCUGAACACGCCCAAUCUCGUCUGAUCUCGGAAGCUAAGCAGGGUCGGGCCCGGUCAGUACUUGGAUGGGAGACCGCCUGGGAAUACCAGGUGCUGUAAGCU